AUUGAACGCUGGCGGCAUGCCUUACACAUGCAAGUCGAACGGCAGCAUGGGUGCUUGCACCUGAUGGCGAGUGGCGAACGGGUGAGUAAUGCAUCGGAACGUGCCCUGAAGUGGGGGAUAACGUAGCGAAAGUUACGCUAAUACCGCAUAUUCUGUGAGCAGGAAAGAGGGGGAUCGCAAGACCUCUUGCUUAAGGAGCGGCCGAUGUCGGAUUAGCUAGUUGGUGGGGUAAAGGCCUACCAAGGCGACGAUCCGUAGCGGGUCUGAGAGGAUGAGCCGCGACGCGGGGCCUGAGACACGGCCGAGACUCCUACGGGAGGCAGGAGAGGGGAAUUUUGGACAAUAGGCGCAAGCCUGGUCCAGCCAUGCCGCGUGAGUGAAGAAGGCCUUCGGGUUGUAAAGCUCUUUCGGUGGGGAAGAAAUUGCUUCGGCUAAUAUCCGGAGUAGAUGACGGUACCCGCAUAAGAAGCACCGGCUAACUACGUGCCAGCCGCCGCGGUAA
rnacentral:rRNA from 1 species